AAAUUGCCCCUGGAGAUAAUCAUGAUCACGAAGGUGGUUUCCCCAGGGCGAGGCUCACCCAUUGCACUCCAGGUGUGCUGGCCCCUGCGAUGUCCCCAAAUGUGUGAAACUCGACUGCAUAAUUUGUGGUAGUGGGGGACUGCGUUCGCGCUCUCCCCUU